ACUCAAAUGAAUUGACGGGGGCCCGCACAAGCAGCGGAGCGUGUGGUUUAAUUCGAUGCAACGCGCAGAACCUUACCCAGGCUUGACAUGCGGCAAGUAGGCCCCGGAAACGGGGACGACCUGUUGAGUCAGGAAGUCGCACAGAUGCUGCAUGGCUGUCGUCAGCUCGUGCCGUGAGGUGUUGGGUUAAGUCCCGCAACGAGCGCAACCCUCGUCGCCAGUUACCUUUUCUGGCGAGACCGCCGGGAUCAACCCGGAGGAAGGUGGGGAUGACGUCAAGUCAGCACGGCUCUUACGUCUGGGGCUACACACACGCUACAAUGGGCGGUACAAUGGGCAGCGAAGGGGCGACCCGGAGCGAAUCCCAGCAAAGCCGUCCUCAGUUGGGAUCGGAGGCUGCAACUCGCCUCCGUGAACGCGGAGUUGCUAGUAACCGCCGGUCAGCACACGGCGGUGAAUACGUUCCCGGGCCUUGUACACACCGCCCGU
rnacentral:rRNA from 1 species